CCCUUAGAUGGUCUGGGCGGCACGCGCGCUACAAUGAUGCAUUCAAAAAGUCUUCUGACCUUAGCAGGUUGGGUAUUCUCCAAAGUGCAUCGUGAUGGGAAUAGUUUAUUGCAAUUUUUAAUCUUGAACGAGGAAUUCCUAGUAAGUACAGGUCAUCAACUUGUGUUGAUUACGUCCCUGCCCUUUGUACACACCGCCCGUCGCUCCUACUGAUUGAGUGUCUCGGUGAAUUCUUUGAUCUUCUGUCGAUUCAGUUCACUGAUCCGACGGUGGAAAGUUGAAUGAACUUCGUCACUUAGAGGAAGGAGAAGUCGUAACA
rnacentral:rRNA from 1 species